GGUCAAGUUAUUAAGAGCAUAGGGCGAAUGCCUUGGCACCAAGAGCCGAUGAAGGACGGGAUAAGCACCGAUAUGCUUCGGGGAGUCGCAAAUAGACACUGAUCCGGAGAUUUCCGAAUGGGGAAACCCACUUGAGCAACCCUCAAGUAUCAAGCGCUGAAUAAAAUAGGCGCUUAGAAGGAAGACCAGGGGAACUGAAACAUCUAAGUACCCUGAGGAAGAGAAAGAAAAUUCGAUUUCCUAAGUAGCGGCGAGCGAACGGGAAACAGCCCAAACCGUAUUUAUACGGGGUUAAGGACAGAGCAAAGGAUGUAAUAUUAGUAGACGAAGGGUCUGGGAAGAUCUACCAAAGAGAGUGAUAGUCUCGUAGUCGAAAUUAAUAUUACACAGGCUCUUGAUCCAGAGUACCACGGGACACGAGAAAUCCUGUGGGAAGUAGGGGGGACCACCCCCCAAGGCUAAAUACUCCUUGGUGACCGAUAGUGAAGUAGUACCGUGAGGGAAAGGUGAAAAGAACCCCGGAAGGGGAGUGAAAUAGAAUCUGAAACCCUAUGCUUACAAGCAGUGGAAGCACUUUUUAUGUGUAACCACGUACUUUUUGUAGAACGGGCCAGCGAGUUAUGGUAUAGAGCAAGGUUAAGAAGUUAAGCUUCGGAGCCGUAGCGAAAGCAAGUCUUAAUAGGGCGAUUAUAGUUCUAUGCCAUAGACCCGAAACUGAGUGAUCUAUCCAUGGGCAGAGUGAAGUUUUAGUAAAAUAAAAUGGAGGCUCGAACCGGGUAACGUUUAAAAGUUAUCGGAUGACCUGUGGAUAGGGGUGAAAAGCCAAUCGAACUCAGAGAUAGCUGGUUCUCCUCGAAAUAGCUUUAGGGCUAGCCUCAAGGAAAUAGUGAUAUGGAGGUAGAGCACUGAAUGGUCUAGGGGCGCACAAGCGUUACCAAAACCUAUCAAACUCCGAAUGCCAUAAUCAUAACCUUGGGAGUCAGACUGUGUGGGAUAAGCUUCACAGUCAAAAGGGAAACAGCCCAGACCACCAGCUAAGGUCCCCAAAUCCAAAUUAAGUGUGAAAGGAUGUGGAGUUUCACAGACAACCAGGAUGUUGGCUUAGAAGCAGCCAUACAUUUAAAGAGUGCGUAAUAGCUCACUGGUCGAGAGAUUCUGCGCCGAAGAUUUCCGGGGCUAAAAUUUGGUACCGAAGCUGUGGAUUGUAACUUUAGUUACAGUGGUAGAGGAGCAUCGUGUGUUGGGAAGAAGGUAUACCGAAAGGAGUGCUGGACUACACACGAGAGAGAAUGCUGGCAUAAGUAGCGAGAGGUGAGUGAGAAUCUCACCCGUCGAAAGCCUAAGGUUUCCUGAGGAAGGCUCGUCCACUCAGGGUAAGUCGGGGCCUAAGCCAAGCCCGAAAGGGGUAGGCGAUGGACAACAGGUUAUAAUUCCUGUACUAGUAAUUUGCGUUUGAAAGAUGGGGUGACGCAGAAGGAUAAGCUUUGCGCACAGUUGGUGAUGCGUCUAAACACGUAGGAAGAGUGGAUAGGAAAAUCCGUUCACUCAUAUUCCAAGGUGUGAUGGGGAUCGAAAAACAAGUAGAGAAGUAGCUGAUUCCACACUGCCAAGAAAAGCCUCUAUUGAGUAAAUUACUACCCGUACCGCAAACCGACACAGGUAGGCGAGGAGAGUAUCCUAAGACGAGCGGAAGAACCUUUGUUAAGGAACUCGGCAAAAUAACCCCGUAACUUCGGGAGAAGGGGUGCCACGUAAGGAUAGGCGCAUGCCGCCGAAAGAACACGUGGCCGCAGUGAAUAGGCCCAAGCGACUGUUUACCAAAAACACAAGUCUCUGCUAAGUCGAAAGACGAAGUAUAGGGGCUGACACCUGCCCGGUGCUGGAAGGUUAAGGGGAAGGGUUAAUGACUUCGGUCAUGAAGCCUAGAACUUAAGCCCCAGUAAACGGCGGCCGUAACUAUAACGGUCCUAAGGUAGCGAAAUUCCUUGUCGGGUAAGUUCCGACCCGCACGAAAGGUGUAACGAUUUGGGCACUGUCUCAACAAAGGAUCCGGUGAAAUUGUAGUAUACGUGAAGAUGCGUAUUACCCGCGACAGGACGGAAAGACCCCGUGGAGCUUUACUGCAGGCUGAUAUUGGAUUUCGGUAUUACAUGUACAGAAUAGGUGGGAGGCUUUGAAGCUAGGGCGCCAGUCUUAGUGGAGCCACAAGUGGGAUACCACUCUUGUGAUGCUGAAAUUCUAACCUGGUACCAUGAAACUGGUACAGGGACACUGUCAGUUGGGCAGUUUGACUGGGGCGGUCGCCUCCUAAAGAGUAACGGAGGCGCUCAAAGGUUUCCUCAGCACGGUCGGAAAUCGUGCGAAGAGUGCAAAGGCAAAAGGAAGCUUAACUGCGACACCUACAAGUGGAGCAGAAACGAAAGUUGGACUUAGUGAUCCGGUGGUACCGCGUGGAAGGGCCAUCGCUCAACGGAUAAAAGCUACCCCGGGGAUAACAGGCUUAUCUCCCCCAAGAGUCCACAUCGACGGGGAGGUUUGGCACCUCGAUGUCGGCUCGUCUCAUCCUGGGGCUGAAGUAGGUCCCAAGGGUUGGGCUGUUCGCCCAUUAAAGAGGCACGCGAGCUGGGUUCAGAACGUCGUGAGACAGUUCGGUCCCUAUCCGUCGUGGGCGUAGGAAAUUUGAGAGGAGCUGUCCUUAGUACGAGAGGACCGGGAUGGACGAACCUCUGGUGUAUCAGUUGUCUUGCCAAAGGCAUGGCUGAGUAGCUAAGUUCGGACGGGAUAAGUGCUGAAGGCAUCUAAGCACGAAGCCCCCCUCAAGAUAAGAUUUCCCAUCAUCAUUAGAUGAGUAAGACUCCAGGAAGACCACCUGGUUGAUAGGUCUCAGGUAGAAGGAUAGCAAUAUCUGUAGCUUAGAGAUACUAAUAAGUCGAGGACUUGACC
rfam:Tissierella creatinophila DSM 6911 TICR_contig000046, whole genome shotgun sequence.